rnacentral:miRNA from 1 species
AACAAUAUCCUGAUGCUGAAUG